GUAUUAGCUCUAUACAUUUAGAGACUAAUUUAAAUACCUUUAUACAUUUAGGCACUAAUAGUGGUCUUCCAUCAUAUGAAGCCACAUAAUAAGUUCUUAACAAAAUAAGAAAGUUUAAAGACUAAUCUUUAAUGCCUAACAAACUUCCUAAGUAGUAAGCAAAAAAACAUAGUGGCCGAACCCUUCACCACAUUUUCCUUGCUUGUUCCUCUUCUACUUGGCUUCUCCACCUAUAUACAAUUAUACAAGUGAUUAGCUCUUUAUAUCAAAUAUAAAUAUUUAGAAGAUCUAACAAUUUAGAAUUGAAGAUAAGAACAUAAACCAUACCUUGUGGCUUGUCCUUAAGACUUGCAAGGUAUAACCUGCAA
rnacentral:lncRNA from 1 species